rnacentral:piRNA from 1 species
UGACUGGGUCCCAUAUGCAAAGUACUGC